rnacentral:rRNA from 1 species
CUUGGAUAACCGUGGUAAUUCUAGAGCUAAUACAUGCUAAAAACCUCGACUUCGGAAGAGGUGUAUUUAUUAGAUAAAAAACCAAUGCCCUUCGGGGCUCUUUGGUGAUUCAUGAUAACUUCUCAGAUCGCAUGGCCUUGCGCCGGCGACGGUUCAUUCAAAUUUCUGCCCUAUCAACUUUCGAUGGUAAGGUAUUGGCUUACCAUGGUUUCAACGGGUAACGGGGAAUUAGGGUUCGAUUCCGGAGAGGGAGCCUGAGAAACGGCUACCACAUCCAAGGAAGGCAGCAGGCGCGCAAAUUACCCAAUCCCGACACGGGGAGGUAGUGACAAUAAAUACUGAUACAGGGCUCUUUUGGGUCUUGUAAUUGGAAUGAGUACAAUUUAAACCUCUUAACGAGGAACAAUUGGAGGGCAAGUCUGGUGCCAGCAGCCGCGGUAAUUCCAGCUCCAAUAGCGUAUAUUAAAGUUGUUGCAGUUAAAAAGCUCGUAGUUGAACCUUGGGCCUGGCUGGCAGGUCCGCCUCACCGCGUGUACUUGACCGGCCGGGCCUUUCCUUCUGGAGAACCUCAUGCCCUUCACUGGGUGUGCUGGGGAACCAGGACUUUUACUUUGAAAAAAUUAGAGUGUUCAAAGCAGGCCUUUGCUCGAAUACGUUAGCAUGGAAUAAUAGAAUAGGACG